GUGCCCACUUCGGCCACACAUAUACUGAAAUUGGAAUGAUACAGAGAAGAUUAGUGUAGCUCCUGCGAAAGAUGACACACAAAUUCGUGAAACGUUCCAUAUUAAA
rnacentral:snRNA from 1 species